GACGAACGCUGGCGGCGUGCUUAACACAUGCAAGUCGAACGGAAAGGCCCCUUUAGGGUUACUCGACGGGCGAACGGGUGAGUAACACGUGAGUAACCUUCCCUUGACUUCUUGUUAACUUCAGGAAACUGGGGCUAAUACCGGAUAUAAAUCCUUGCUGCAUGGUGGGGGUUGGAAAGCUCCUUGGGUUUUGGAUGGACUCGCGGCUUAUUAGCUUGUUGGUGGGGUAGUGGCUUACCAACGCUUUGACGGGUAGACGGACUGAGGGGGCGAGCGGCGGUAUUGGGACUGAGAUAAGGCCCAGACUCCUACGGGAGGAAGCAGUGGGGAAUAUUGCACAAUGGGUGGAAGGCUGAUGCAGCAAGGCCGCGUGCGGGAUGACGGCCUUCGUGUUGUAAACAGGUUUCAGCAGGGGAGAAGCUUGUGGUGACGGUACCUGAAGAAGAAGCACCGGCUAACUACGUG
rnacentral:rRNA from 1 species